UACAGAGGUCCCAAGCGUUGUUCGGAUUCACUGGGCGUAAAGGGUGUGUAGGUGGUUGGAUAAGUCUGAUGUGAAAUCCCGGAGCCUAACUCCGGAACUGCAUUGGAUACUAUUCGGCUAGAGGGUUGGAGGGGGGACUGGAAUUCUCGGUGUAGCAGUGAAAUGCGUAGAUAUCGAGAGGAACACCAGUGGCGAAGGCGAGUCCCUGGACAACUCCUGACACUGAGGCACGAAAGCUAGGGGAGCAAACAGG
rnacentral:rRNA from 1 species